GACGAACGCUGGCGGCGUGCUUAACACAUGCAAGUCGAACGGACAGGCCCUGCUUUUGUGGGGUGCUCGAGUGGCGAACGGGUGAGUAACACGUGAGUAACCUGCCCUUGACUUUGGGAGAACUUCAGGAGACUGGGGCUAAUACCGGGUAGGAGAUCCUGCUGCAUGGUGUGGGUUGGAAAAUUUCGGCGGUUGGGUAUGGACUCGCGGCAUAUCCGCUUGUUGGGGGGGUAGGGGAUGAGCAAUGCUUUGAAGGCGAGCCGGCCUGGGAGGGUGACCGGCCACAUUGGGCCUGGGAUGCGGCCCAGACGCAUACGGGCGGCAGCAGUGGAGAACAUUGCACAAUGGGCCGAAGCAUGAUGCAGCAACGCCGCGUGCGGGAUGACUGCCUUCGGGUUGGAAACCGCUUUCGCCUGUGACGAAGCGUGAGUGACGGUAAUGGGUAAAGAAGCACCGGUUAACUACGU
rnacentral:rRNA from 1 species